rnacentral:rRNA from 1 species
CGCGUAGGCGGUUUGAUAAGUCGGAUGUGAAAUCCCCGGGCUCAACCUGGGAACUGCAUUCGAUACUGUCUGACUAGAGUACGGUAGAGGGAAGUGGAAUUUCAGGUGUAGCGGUGAAAUGCGUAGAUAUCUGAAGGAACAUCAGUGGCGAAGGCGGCUUCCUGGACCAAUACUGACGCUGAGGUGCGAAAGCGUGGGGAGCAAACA